rnacentral:lncRNA from 1 species
GAGAGAGAGAGAGGAAGGAGACGAUAAGAGAAGGGGAAGGAAGGGAGGGGAGCGCUUGUUCAGGGGUGGGGAUGGACGGAUGAGAUGUGGGGAGGAGGUCGAGAUCGGAGCGUGCUGAGUGGUGGAGGAGACAUGACACGGAUCGCCGAAGUGGAUGGGAUGAGCAGUUGCCAUUCGUUUUGUUUUCUCUUUGUCGACCCUUAUCAUUGCUGGUAUGUUAUUAUUAUAAUAACUUGGUAAACAAAUGCCACCGAACUUUAAGGGAUUAACUUCAAAUGCCACCAGCGUCUUACAAAGCGCCGACUUACCCAGACCUAGUUUUUUUUUUUUUGUAUUUAUACAAUUUUAGUAGGAACAUAAAAAAUUAAAAUGCAGUACCUCCAGAAACGCUUUAGAGAGCUCCUUCUUUCCGACCCAUAAAGCAUCUUCUGAUUGGCUACAUAUGAGGCUAUCCAGUCCGAAGUCCUAUUAGCCUUUCUAUAUAUAUAUAUAUAUAUGUAGAUUGGACAACCACGCCACCACUAGAUCCAGCUAGGCCAAUAUAUUCAGAUAAUUUGCAGCACUUUUUCUAAAAUAUUAUUCAACAAUAUAAAUAAUGUCGAUUAUACGCCCGGUCCAAUACUGGAAUGAAAAUUUUGAGGAUGAAAAAAUACUUAUUAUAUUGGUGAUCAAUGAAAAGCAUGCUAAAGUGUAAGUGCUAGUUAUUAUCACUAUUUGCAUGGCAAACUAUUAGACAUGGUGAUUUAAAUGAUAAUUGUCAUGAUGCUUGUUCACGGCCAUCAUACUAUUGAGUAUUGACAAUUAAUAAAUAGUAUUAUUAUUUAUUGCUAUUCGUAUGGUAAAAUAUUGAAAUAUCCCCCCUCAAACA